rnacentral:misc_RNA from 1 species
GAUGAAGAACGUAGCAAAAUGCGAUACUUGGUGUGAAUUGCAGAAUCCCGUGAACCAUCGAGUUUUUGAACGCAAGUUGCGCCCGAAGCCUUUUGGCCGAGGGCACGUCUGCCUGGGCGUCACGCAUCGCGUCGCCCCCCACAAUUCUCUGCAAAGGGAACCUGUGUUUUGGGGGCGGAUAUUGGUCUCCCGUGCUCAUGGCGCGGUUGGCCGAAAUAGGAGUCCCUUCGAUGGACGCACGAACUAGUGGUGGUCGUAAAAACCCUCGUCUUUUGUUUCGUGCCGUUAGUCGCGAGGGAAGCUCUUCAAAAACCCCAGCGCGUCGUCUCUUGACGGCGCUUCGACCGCGACCCCAGGUCAGGCGGGACUACCCGCUGAGUUUAAGCAUAUCAAUAAGCGGAGGA